CUUUAGGAAGCGGAAGACUAAUGACCGAAGCUUCAAGACUUUGACAUGUGUGAAAACAUGAAAUGACCCUUGGCUCUUAUUGUUCUUGCUGGUGUGGUAUGUUCACGGCUGAAAAGAUGGUCAGAAGGGGAAAGGAGGAAGUGAGAAGAAAGAAACAGGGAAAUGACAGAGUGUUGCUCAGUUACCCAGGCUGGAGUGCAAUGGCAUGAUCUUGGCUCACUGCAGCCUCCACCUCCUGGGUUCAAGCGGUUCUCGUGCCUCAGUCUCCCAAGUAGCUGGGAUUACAGGCUGAGGAAUUACCAAGGAGGCAGGAGGUGGAGCAAAACACACCAAGCCUGGUGCCAAUCAUUGACAAUAUUAUGGUUAGUACUUACUGAGGGCUGACUAUGGUUGAAACUGCCUUUGCAAAAUUAUGACUGAGACGGUGAAAGAGAUCUAACUUAACCAACGCUAGCUAUCUUGCCUCUAACCUCCAAGCUGUCCUUGUUCAUUCCUGGGCAUAGGCUGAACUAACUUUGGGAGAAAUUUAGUUUAUAGUUUGAAACAAAGAUGAUAACAGCCCUUUGCCAAAGCAGACCUCCUUCUUGUCUGGGGACUAGAUGGCCUUUGUAGGACUAACAUGAGCCACAAGAUUAGAAAUUAUGGAUAGGAGUCAUGCAGCUGGAGUCUCCAAGAUUCUGACCCUCCCUAAACUGCUCCCAAGAUCAAUGCUUGAGAUAUUUUGCAGACCCUGCAUGUGAUGGAUCAGCUGACACCAUCCAGAUCGGUAAACUGGUUCAUCUGAUCUUGUGCCCUCCACCCAGGAACUGACUCAGCGCAAGAAGACAGCUUCGACUCCUUGUGAUUUCAUCCCUAACCAAUCAGCACUCCUGGCUCACUGGCUUCCCCCAACCCACCAAAUUGUCCUUAAAAACUCUGCUCUCCAAACGCUGGGGGAGACUGAUUUGAGUAAUAAUAAAACCCUGGUCUCCUGCACAGUUGGCUCUGCGUGAAUUACUCUUUCUCUAUUCCAAUUCCCUUAUUUUGGUGAAUUGGCUCUGUCUACGCAGUGGGCAAGGUGAACC
rnacentral:lncRNA from 1 species